rnacentral:rRNA from 1 species
CCUACGGGAGGCAGCAGUGGGGAAUAUUGGACAAUGGGGGAAACCCUGAUCCAGCAAUGCCGCGUGAGUGAUGAAGGCCUUAGGGUUGUAAAACUCUUUCGGCGGGGAAGAUGAUGACUGUACCCGCUAAAGAAGCUCCGUCUAACUUCGUGCCAGCAGACGCGGUAAUACGAAGGGGGCGAGCGUUGUUCGGAAUUACUGGGCGUAAAGGGAGCGCAGGCGGUUCAUUCAGUUAGGCGUGAAAGCCCCGGGCUCAACCUGGGAACUGCGCUUAAUACUGAUGAGCUAGAAAACAGGAGAGGGUAGUGGAAUUUCCAGUGUAGAGGUGAAAUUCGUAGAUAUUGGAAAGAACACCGGUGGCGAAAGCGGCUACCUGGCCUGAUUUUGACGCUGAGGCUCGAAAGCGUGGGGAGCAAACAGGAUUAGAUACCCUGGUAGUCCACGCCAUAAACGAUGACAGCUAGAUGUCGGGGGGUUGCCUCUCGGUGUCGCCGCUAACGCAUUAAGCUGUCCGCCUGGGAAGUACGGUCGCAAGAUUAAAACUCAAAGGAAUUGACGG